CCUACGGGAGGCAACAGUGAGGAAUAUUGGUCAAUGGACGAGAGUCUGAACCAGCCAAGUAGCGUGAAGGAUGACUGCCCUAUGGGUUGUAAACUUCUUUUAUAUGGGAAUAAAAUGUUCCACGUGUGGGAUUUUGUAUGUACCAUAUGAAUAAGGAUCGGCUAACUCCGUGCCAGCAGCCGCGGUAAUACGGAGGAUCCGAGCGUUAUCCGGAUUUAUUGGGGUUAAAGGGAGCGUAGGUGGAUUGUUAAGUCAGUUGUGAAAGUUUGCGGCUCAACCGUAAAAUUGCAGUUGAAACUGGUAGUCUUGAGUACAGUAGAGGUGGGCGGAAUUCGUGGUGUAGCGGUGAAAUGCUUAGAUAUCACGAAGAACUCCGAUUGCGAAGGCAGCUCACUGGACUGCAACUGACACUGAGGCUCGAAAGUGUGGGUAUCAAACAGGAUUAGAUACCCCUGUAGUC
rnacentral:rRNA from 1 species